rnacentral:rRNA from 1 species
UACAGAGGUCCCAAGCGUUGUUCGGAUUCACUGGGCGUAAAGGGUGCGUAGGCGGUCGGGUAAGUCUGAUGUGAAAUCUCGGAGCUCAACUCCGAAACUGCAUUGGAUACUAUUCGGCUUGAGGUCUGGAGGGGGGACUGGAAUUCUUGGUGUAGCAGUGAAAUGCGUAGAUAUCAAGAGGAACACCAGUGGCGAAGGCGAGUCCCUGGACAACUUCUGACGCUGAGGCACGAAAGCUAGGGGAGCAAACAGG